rnacentral:snoRNA from 1 species
CAAGCCUCUGGCGCUGCAUUUGCCAGAAACAAGGCGGGCGAUGAUUGAUAGAUUUACCACACGCAAUUUCGCCUGAUCGUCGAAAUGAAGGUUAAACUUCCUUGGACGUCUGAGCCAC